rnacentral:rRNA from 1 species
GCAUUAUACCGCGAAACUGCGAAUGGCUCAUUAAAUCAGUUAUCGUUUAUUUGAUAGUACCUUACUACUUGGAUAACCGUGGUAAUUCUAGAGCUAAUACAUGCUAAAAAUCCCGACUUCGGAAGGGAUGUAUUUAUUAAAUUAAAAACCAAUGCCCUUCGGGGCUCUCUGGUGAUUCAUAAUAACUUCUCGAAUCGCACGGCCUUGCGCCGGCGAUGGUUCAUUCAAAUUUCUGCCCUAUCAACUUUCGACGGCUGGGUCUUGGCCAGCCAUGGUGACAACGGGUAACGGAGGGUUAGGGCUCGACCCCGGAGAAGGAGCCUGAGAAACGGCUACUACAUCCAAGGAAGGCAGCAGGCGCGCAAAUUACCCAAUCCCGACUCGGGGAGGUAGUGACAAUAAAUACUGAUACAGGGCUCUUUUGGGUCUUGUAAUUGGAAUGAGUACAAUUUAAAUCCCUUAACGAGGAACAAUUGGAGGGCAAGUCUGGUGCCAGCAGCCGCGGUAAUUCCAGCUCCAAUAGCGUAUAUUAAAGUUGUUGCAGUUAAAAAGCUCGUAGUUGAACCUUGGGCCUGGCUGGCCGGUCCGCCUCACCGCGUGCACUGGUCCGGCCGGGCCUUUCCCUCUGGGGAACCGCAUGCCCUUCACUGGGUGUGUCGGGGAACCAGGACUUUUACUUUGAACAAAUUAGAUCGCUUAAAGAAGGCCUAUGCUCGAAUACAUUAGCAUGGAAUAAUAGAAUAGGACGUGUGGUUCUAUUUUGUUGGUUUCUAGGACCGCCGUAAUGAUUAAUAGGGACAGUCGGGGGCAUCAGUAUUCAAUUGUCAGAGGUGAAAUUCUUGGAUUUAUUGAAGACUAACUACUGCGAAAGCAUUUGCCAAGGAUGUUUUCAUUAA